GCUUACGGCCAUACCAUUAGGCACGCCCGAUCUCGUCUGAUCUCGGAAGCUAAGCAGGGUCGGGUCUGGUUAGUACUUGGAUGGGUGACCGCCUGGGAAUACCAGGUGCUGUAAGCA
rnacentral:rRNA from 10 species